GAUGAACGCUGGCGGCGUGCUUAACACAUGCAAGUCGAACGAAGCACUUGAAUGGAAUUCUUCGGAAGGAAGCUCAAGUGACUGAGUGGCGGACGGGUGAGUAACGCGUGGGUAACCUGCCUCAUACAGGGGGAUAACAGUUAGAAAUGACUGCUAAUACCGCAUAAGCACACGUGAUCGCAUGAUCGAGUGUGAAAAACUCCGGUGGUAUGAGAUGGACCCGCGUCUGAUUAGCUAGUUGGUGGGGUAAUGGCCUACCAAGGCGACGAUCAGUAGCCGGCCUGAGAGGGUGAACGGCCACAUUGGGACUGAGACACGGCCCAAACUCCUACGGGAGGCAGCAGUGGGGAAUAUUGCACAAUGGGGGAAACCCUGAUGCAGCGACGCCGCGUGAAGGAUGAAGUAUUUCGGUAUGUAAACUUCUAUCAGCAGGGAAGAAAAUGACGGUA
rnacentral:rRNA from 1 species